GUAGGUGGCAAGCGUUGUCCGGGAAUUAUUGGGGCGUAAAGCGCGCGCAGGCGGUUCUUUAAGUCUGAUGUGAAAGCCCACGGGCUCAACCGUGGAGGGUCAUUGGAAACUGGAGAACUUGAGUACAGAAGAGGAAAGCGGAAUUCCACGUGUAGCGGUGAAAUGCGUAGAGAUGUGGAGGAACACCAGUGGCGAAGGCGGCUUUCUGGUCUGUAACUGACGCUGAGGCGCGAAAGCGUGGGGAGCAAACAGGAUUAGAUACCCUGGUAGUCCACGCCGUAAACGAUGAGUGCUAAGUGUUAGGGGGUUUCCGCCCCUUAGUGCUGCAGCUAACGCAUUAAGCGCUCCGCCUGGGGAGUACGGCCGCAAAGGCUG
rnacentral:rRNA from 1 species